UACGGGGGGUGCAAGCGUUGUCCGGAAUCACUGGGCGUAAAGGGCGCGUAGGCGGCUCUGCACGUUCGUUGUGAAAUCGCCCGGCUCAACUGGGCGGGGUCAGCGGAUACGGCAGAGCUUGAGCAAGCUAGGGGGCAAUGGAAUUCCCGGUGUAGUGGUGGAAUGCGUAGAUAUCGGGAGGAACACCAGUGGCGAAGGCGGUUGCCUGGGGCUUUGCUGACGCUGAUGCGCGAAAGCGUGGGGAGCGAGUCCGG
rnacentral:rRNA from 1 species